CAGAAAAAGCUUGAUUAUAGCUACUGCUUGUUUCUGUGUUUCAGAAACUUUGUGUGUUUCUUGUAAGUGGGCAGCGGCCAGACAACCGUAGAGAUGGAAUCCACAGAGUGGUGAGGUUUUUUGUCUCACACUUCUACUAAUUCCAUCUCACAUUU
rnacentral:snoRNA from 2 species